UCACCCCUCAAGCCCCGCGCUUGGUGUUGGACGGCCUGGUCGAGGUCCCCUCGACCCCUCCCAAAGACAAUGACGGCGGCCUGUGGUUCCCCCGGCACACUGAGCUUCUCACCGAGCACGUGUCGGAUUGGAGGGUACCCGGGCCACGGUCCUCUUCCUAGCAUUAGGAAAACUUCACGCAA
rnacentral:misc_RNA from 1 species